ensembl:lncRNA
AUUGGGAGGAUGAAAGCGGAGCAGCAGCAUCACCACAAGAAGGCGCUGAAGAGCCUCGACUCUGCUCCUCUAUUCAAAAGACACACAGGGCCUUCUGGAAUCAAGGGGUUGCCAAGAUGUCCCUGCAGUGAUGAACCUCUCUGGCUGCGCUGCCAAGGGAAGGGUGUAAAAACAGCCCGGAGCCAACGACGCAGAGCCGCACUGAUACUGGAGGUUUCCACAGUGGCUGUGGAAUAAGCCACCGCACAUCAGCCCUGUCAGGUUUGGCUUGUUGGGCCACUGUGUAUUUAUACGUGAACCACAAAGAGGCAGGUGAAGAGGCAGGAUCACCCUCAGUGAGCCUCUCCCAAGAGAAACAAAACCUCAUCUGAUAAAGCACUGUCUCUACAGUUUACGAGUCUAAAGAAAUUGUCUGAGUACAGCAGUAACAUUACACCUAUUUGUAUUUGUUAAUGAUGUGUUUGUAUUUAUGAGGAAAAAGCAAUAUAAACAUAAAGCAAUGCAUUAUUUAACUGUUCUCUCCAUAUAAGCUAUAUAAGUCCCAUCCAAAAAACUGUAUCAGUGAAUAAUUUAGAAAUGUUUUUAUUCGUUAACUCUUGUAAAAAAGACUUGCUUCUAAAACAAGUAUAUAGCAUUAAGACUGACACAAAUACAUUAUAAACUAGAUUCAAGUUUUCGUCUGUUUGGAUCAACACAUCAUUUUACAAAUCUGAACAAAUUGCAUCUCUUGCAACUCUCUGUCACCCUGGGAGUAAAAGCCACAUUUUAAAUGAACACGUGCAAUAACGUGGAGCGAUUUCAGUUCACUUCCUGCCUAAUUAUCCUUCCACACUUCUCAGUAAGGUUCCGACUUCCUCGCAGGUCCUGCCGUGUCUGAAGUGAUUCUUCGAACCCCCUAAGUCGCCUCCUCAUCUUCGCUGACCUUUAAAGACCAAUCCUCCAGCGUCUCGGGCACCUGGAAGCGGCUCGAUAGUUCCACGGAGAGUGCGACUCUUGUUGGGCAAAAUCAAUGGGCGGUUUCCCCACAGCAUUCGUCUCGGUGUUUACGUUGGCCUAAUCAGCAAGAGAAAAAUCACCGACGCUGUUCAACUCUCACAGGCCCCGCGCAGUAAUAAUGCUGUGCGCUAAUGCUAAUCUGUUAUCUCAGGUGCUCUGGCAUCUUCUGCUGCAGAGGGUCUGUUAAGCAGCCUCGCUGUCCUGACGCUUGUUUAUUAAAGCCUCCAUUUGCUCCUUAUUUCUUUAACCUCAACACAGCACCUGUAAAAGCUCCUUAGCCGUUUAGCAAUCCAGGUCAAGUAGCCUCAGCAGGACUUCUGGCAACAUGGAAAAGAGAUGAAAGCCUGAUUAGGAUCAUCAGCGCUUCUAUUUUUAACGGUCGGCCUGAAUGCAAACAUCAUAACCUGCUGAUGUUUAUAUGCUGCCUUCAGCAUCGAUCCUUUGAACACAUGUCAGUGCAAUGAGCUGCUUUAUUUUGGUUUUAAAUCAGCUCGUGGUCAUUAAACGCGCCAGAGGAGCGUCUCGCGUGGCUCCUGUGGUCGAAGCGUGAUCGAUGCCUCCCGCUCCGUCGCUGUCGCCGGGACUGAGCGGAGGUGAUAACGAGAGCGUGACCGUCUCCCUUUGUCUCAAACGCCCACUCGGCCCGCGGACGCUCAGGCUGGAACACACUGACAGCGCAUAGGAAGGGGAUGUGGUGCAGUCGCAAACAUACACCCUUGUGCUCAGCAAAUCAGAGCUGUGAGUCACCUAUUGGAAAUGUGGCAACUAAGGCAAGCACUUGAUAUGCAGGCAUCUGCUUUGUGGCUUAUCUCCGCUGCUCAACUGUGCAGAGCAAUUGGCGCUUGGCUGGCCCUGCAGAAAGCUUCCUCUUUUCUCAUUCUCUCCUUCUUCUCUGCAUCAUUUUCUCUGCCUUCCUGCACAGUUUGGUUUUUCUGAAGUUGUUCUUGGCUUUUUUUUGGGGGGGGGGCAUUGCUGGGAUAAUUUCCAACUGUGUCAGCUACUGUACAAUCAAAUGGAUGGUUUCAUUCUAUUGUGAUGAAGGUUAGUGGUGAAACAGUGAUGCUGGUCAGAGAAUGAAGGACUGAGACCAGCUAGAAGACUAAAUGAGACUAUGCCUCGCUACCGGGUCCCCAGUAGCUUAAGGGGGCUUUAAGGGCCAUUACAAAAUCCUGAACUUGCAUCCAAUAUCAAAUGAUAAAUAAAAAUGCUGUUGCAUUUGGAACCA